GAUGAACGCUGGCGGCGUGCCUAAUACAUGCAAGUCGAACGCAUUGAGAGAAGUGCUUGCACUUUUCAAUUUGAGUGGCGAACGGGUGAGUAACACGUGGGCAACCUACCUGAUAGCGGGGGAUAACGAGUGGAAACAUUCGCUAAUACCGCAUAACAAUAGAGAAGGCAUCUUCUUUAUUUAAAAGGCGCUUUCAAGCGUCACUAUCAGAUGGGCCCGCGGUGCAUUAGUUAGUUGGGGGGGUGAAGGCCUACCAAGACGAUGAUGCAUAGCCGAGUUGGGAGCCUGAGCGGCCACAUUGGGACUGAGACACGGGCCAAACUCCUACGGGAGGCUGCAGUAGGGAAUCUUCCACAAUGGACGAAAGUCUGAUGGAGCAACGCCGCGUGUGUGAUGAAGGCUUUCGGGUCGUAAAGCACUGUUGUAUGGGAAGAAAUGCUAGGCUAGGAAAUGAGCUUAGUUUGACGGUACCAUACCAGAAAGGGACGGCUAAAUACGUGCCAGCAGCCGCGGUAA
rnacentral:rRNA from 1 species